rnacentral:tRNA from 1 species
AUUGGUUUAAUUCCUUUCUAUUACCA